GGAAUCUUGCGCAAUGGGCGAAAGCCUGACGCAGCAACGCCGCGUGCGGGAAGAAGGCUUUCGGGCUGUAAACCGCUUUCAGCAGGAACGAAAAUGACGGUACCUGCAGAAGAAGGAGCGGCCAACUAUGUGCCAGCAGCCGCGGUGGUACAUAGGCUUCAAGCGUUGUCCGGAUUUAUUGGGCGUAAAGAGUUCGUAGGCGGUCAAGUAAGUCGGGUGUGAAAAUUCUGGGCUCAACCCAGAGACGCCACCCGAUACUGCUUAACUUGAGUUCGAUAGGGGAGUGGGGAAUUCCUAGUGUAGCGGUGAAAUGCGCAGAUAUUAGGAGGAACACCGGUGGCGAAGGCGCCACUCUGGAUCGAUACUGACGCUGAGGAACGAAAGCAUGGGUAGCAAACAGGAUUAGAUACCCUGGUAGUCCAUGCGGUAAACGGUGGGCACUAGGUGUGGGAUCCUAUUAACGAAUUCCGCGCCGUCGCUAACGUAUUAAGUGCCCCGCCUGGGGAGUACGGUCGCAAGACUAAAACUCAAAGGAAUUGACGG
rnacentral:rRNA from 1 species